rnacentral:lncRNA from 1 species
AUUACAUAGUAAUAUUAUUUACCAUAUUCUUUUAUACAUAGAAUGCACAACCUGAUUUUGAAAUAUAAAGGAGAAAAGGGACUUAAAACACCUUCUCGAGACACUAUACUAGAUCGCACAGCAGAGGGACCUCCAAGGCAGACAUCAGGAGAAACGGAGUCAAAGCAAGGUAUUCGGUGAAAGGACCUGACUGUAAUUCGGUAUAACACAUUCAUCCAAAUCAUACCAAUUUCAUGUAAAUAAUGGAAUUGUUUCAGCGG